GUGAAUCAUCAAAUCUUUGAACGCAAAUUGCACUCCCUUGUAUUCCGGGGAGUAUUCCUGUUUGAGGGUCGUUAGAAUAAAAAUCGAUGCGUCGCUCUUUUUUUGAAGGGUGAUCGCUUCGGAAUUGAGCCGUCUUUCAAACUUUAAUUCAUGUCAAAGUGGCUUGGAUUUCAUCCAUCCGGUUCGAUUGAAGCUUAUUUAAGAUCAAUUUUGAUUGAUAACGCGCGAGUACGUA
rnacentral:misc_RNA from 1 species